rnacentral:rRNA from 1 species
UACGGAGGGAGCUAGCGUUGUUCGGAAUUACUGGGCGUAAAGCGCGCGUAGGCGGCUUUGUAAGUUAGAGGUGAAAGCCCGGGGCUCAACCCCGGAAUUGCCUUUAAGACUGCAUCGCUUGAAUCCGGGAGAGGUGAGUGGAAUUCCGAGUGUAGAGGUGAAAUUCGUAGAUAUUCGGAGGAACACCAGUGGCGAAGGCGGCUCACUGGUCCAUUACUGACGCUGAGGUGCGAAAGCGUGGGGAGCAAACAGG